AUGAAUAGACCAGUUUCUUUGGAGCAUAAAAUUCUGCAUUCUGAUUUAUUUCUCGCCAUUCCAAGAAUUCGACAGGAGGUAUCGUCCCUCCUCCCCCUUGUUAGAAAGAGUCCAAGCUGAUAGUUUCGGUGUGUGGUGAAUUAAUCACUUUUUGUAUGGAAAAAUUGGCAUUUGCCUAUUUGGCCAAUAUUAGAAAUAAAAUAGGCUGGCGCCUAGGGUGAAAAUUACGUUGGGAGACAUUGGGCUUGGGGAUAGUUGUGGUGUAUUAAAAAUACAUAUUUUAAUUAAUUAAGAUCAAUAAAUUCCGAAAUCGUCACAGAAUAUUCUGAACACGAGUUUCAAGAAAGUGUGACCACUUCCCUACCUUGAAAAUUCUUGGUCUCAUUUUGAAUUGGUCAGAAUAAAUGGGACGGAAUCAGGUAUAUGUUGAAACCAAACCAAUUAAGCGCAUGAGACUGGAUCAUAGCUCAUGUAAAUGAGAUAUCCUUACAAUUGUAUCGAGAAGUGGAAAAAUACUCACCUCUGCAUAUUUUUUAUUUUCGAAAGGUGUCUUGCAAAUCCAAGAAUGAUGCAUGCUGACUUAUUGUAUAUUGGUUCGCCCAACAAUACUUUGGAGAUGAUACUCAGAAAGCUGUGAAUAUAAUCACAACAAUAUUCACUAUUUUUCUAUCGUACAGCGAUCGAUGUAUAUUUUUCAGUUUUCAGACUGAAAGAAUGAUAAAAAAUGUGCGGGGCGAAUUACGUCAUCAAAUCAACAAUUUCAAUUGGUUGCCUGAUAAUGCUAACGCUGCAUUGACAGAGAUAAUUAGGAGAACGAAAAUUUUAAACGGAAUGCCAAAUUGGUGCAGAAACCGAACGGCCAUUGAAUAUCAUUAAAAAGAGUUUACGACUGGUCCUGACUACUUACCUAAUAUUUGGAGCUUCUGGAGUUACGAGAAGUAGUACAAUCUUUACUUGUUUACUGAUUGCGUGACACCAAAGCGAUGGUAUACAAAUCCACUGAUUGCAAAGGCCUACUAUCAGCCCUUUACUAAUGUACUCUUCAUAAAUGCAGCUUUUCUUCAACUGUCUUUCUUCGGUUCCGCACUGCCAGAACGGUACGAUGAGGCCCUCUUUCUGGACCAUGACGCUUUGGAUGACUAUGAUGACCAAAUUUCGUGCUUCAUGAGAUAUUUCGCUAACAGUUACAACAAAAGCGAAGUAGCUGUGCAAACAUUUGACGAAAUCCUGGCGGAUGCAAUAGGAAUGCAAGCAUCAUUGGACAUUUACGAACGUCUAAAGCAGCAUAAUAAAUCAGAUCGGGAAUUAAAGAUUUGAAAAUUUUACUAUUGAACUACUAUUGAGAUGUUUACUAUUGAGAUGUUUUUCAUAUCUUUCAGCCAGGCAUGUACUCCUCACAAAAAUGAAAUGAUUCCCGUUGACUAGUAGUGCAUUAUUUGAAAUAGGUUAAUGAUUACUUUUCGUCUUACAUUUAUUCGAGUUCUUUCUGAAAAUUCUUGUUUUUAGACAUACUGCGAAAGUAAAGCUCCAGGAUUGGAAAAGCACUGGCUCUACCCACACAGUCCCUCAGAGUACCGAGCGAAUGGUGCUGCUCGCAAUAUUCUAGAAUUUGCAAAAGCUUUCAAUUAUCCAGUGGGGAGCCCCAUGAAUCCUGCGACCAAAUGUAGUGUUUGGAAAAAAUAACUACAAUUUUUUAUUGUGAAUAAUUUUUAUUGCACUUUCUUUCCAUUCCGUAUAUUGUCCAUGCAUCAAGCUAACAAUGUU